rnacentral:rRNA from 1 species
AUUGAACGCUGGCGGCAUGCUUUACACAUGCCAGUCGAACGGCAGCGCGGGCUUCGGCCUGGCGGCGAGUGGCGAACGGGUGAGUAAUACAUCGGAACGUGCCCAGUAGUGGGGAUAGCUCGGCGAAAGCCGGAUUAAUACCGCAUACGACCUGAGGGUGAAAGCGGGGGAUCUUCGGACCUCGCGCUAUUGGAGCGGCCGAUGGCAGAUUAGCUAGUUGGUGGGGUAAAGGCCUACCAAGGCGACGAUCUGUAGCUGGUCUGAGAGGACGACCAGCCACACUGGGACUGAGACACGGCCCAGACUCCUACGGGAGGCAGCAGUGGGGAAUUGUGGACAAUGGGCGAAAGCCUGAUCCAGCAAUGCCGCGUGUGUGAUGAAGGCCUUCGGGUUGGAAAGCACUUUUGGCGGGAACGAAAAGGACUGUGCCAAUACCACGGUUCGAUGACGGUACCCGCAGAAUAAGCACCGGCUAACUACGUG